AGGGAUGUGGCUCAGUGGUACAGCACUUGCCCAGCCAAUGCAAGGCUCUGGGUUCAAUCCCCAGCACUACUG
rnacentral:tRNA from 1 species